GGUUACAGCUGAUAACGUCACUGCAGAAACGUAGCAUCCCCAUCAGGUAAACACUGAUAGCUCUGUAAGCACCGUUGCUAUUGUUUGCAUUCUUAGCGCUAAUAACACCCUGAGCGGCUAGCCGCUGGCUCAGCAGUCCCCAUGUUGAGAGCUGUGUGGAGGCAAUCCCUCCCCCGGUCAUAUGAUGUGAUCUAAUAGGGUCGAAAAUGCACUUUUCAUUUCAUUACUUAAAGUACAAUUUCGAGGAACUCUUACUUUUGUUGCGUAUUUACAUUUCAUGCUACUUUAUACUUCUACUCCACUAUCUUUCGGUAGGAAGUGUUGUACUUUCCACAUUUAUUUCACAGCUGUAGUUACUACUAACUUUUCAUAUUAUGCUUUUACAACACAUGAUAAGCUCAUAAAAUAUUCUGAAUUGUUAAAGAUUAAACCACGUAUCAGAUCUCUGAGUUGUUAGCUGUUCCACCAAACAGACAUUUUCCCCCCUGAACCUCUCACAUUGUUUGAAGCCCAAAAACGUCCAACUAUCCUACUUUUAGCAUGAAUAUAGAAGCAAAGAUUAGAGAAAAGUCGUUGCGAAGCAGACCUUUGUUUUGUUUGGAAACAGAUUGUUAUUGGACCGUGGGGUUUGGCUCUAAUCCAGAUACCACGUACUCAGACUUGGGUCUGCUUGGAUGGUGCCUUGACAUCUAUACUUUAAUAACACAAGCUUUGGAGAAAUGAACAUUUUUCCCCAAUGGGGGGAAAAAUGUCUGCUGUCAAGUUCAUAAUGAUACUGACUCUCGACCCCUCAGAUUUAGCUCGUGACUUUUUGGAGCUAACUGGAUCUAAAGUAGUUAAAACUAGCUCCAACUUGAGCAGCUACAACAGUAACAUACUGCUCCGAAUUUGAUACAUCAGUAUUAACAAUCUGAUAAUGUCUUACAUACUAAUAUUUCAGUCACAGGGGACAUUUUAAUUGCAUAACCACUGCUUUGACUGAUACUAAGUACAUUUAGUUUAAAAUACUGCUACUUGUAGGGGAGUAUUUUAUCGAUACUUACUUUGACUUAAGUAAAGGAUCUUCUACCGCUGCUGUUAGGGUCUGUUUGGGUUGAACACAUUUUGGAUUGGGUCUAGUAUCCUUGAGUAAGGUCUGAUGUGCCCACAUCCGAUCAGGUCUUUCUAUUUGUAAAAACUAUUCACGCAGUCAGGUGUUAGUAGGUUUACCAUGGGUCUGUUUUGGAUUGUGAGGACCUCUAGUCAGACUGAGCUAAUGUUAAAAAGUGCACAGCUGUCAACAAUUUCAUUAGGGCUCAUCAGUCUGAUAUCAAAACCUUGUUAGACAUGAUAUACUGUACCAUCAGUUUAUAAGCGCUGUUAGCACCAGAAGCUGCUAGCCGCCGGCUCAGCCGUCGCCAUGUUGAGAGCCGUGUUGAGACAACAGACAUGCUCUGGAUAUCGUUUUGAGCACCUUUAAAAACAACUGAACAAAAUGUCCCUUCAUUUUGUUUCAAGAUGGAAAAAGAAACUGUAAAUAUCCCUCAUUAUUAUCAAUGGGAAGGAUCUUUCCCACAGAUUUUAAUUAUAUUUUCUAUUUACUUACUUUUGACAACAUUGGUUUUCAUAUCAUUUCAUCUUUAUCUCAUCAAACUUUAUGAAACGUUUGUACGUUCAUGCUACUUGCAUAGAUAUUUGCAUUGGACCAUAUAGAUCAUGUGGUAUUUGUGUUGGUUCUGAAAGGUUGAUCCAAAUUUCCAAAAACUAAUUUGAAUUUUAGCUAUCUAGUUCUUGGAUUUUGGAGAGAUAUCUUCCUUUUUACAAAUGUUUGGACUGUUUUAGGCCUCAAUUACACCGAGACGCGCCGCUAGAAAGGCCUCGCGCGUUUUUUUGUCGCUUUUUCAACCCACAUAAAAGUUUUUCUAAUAAUAGAAAAAAGCUUUUCAGAGCCAGACGCAGAGUCGCACCGCUCUUCAAUGUCACAGUUGGCCCAGACAGCUAAUCGAAUCAAGCAAGAAGCAAGCUUUACUACCACUGACUUCCUAAUUUUGAUGCCGGUAGAUGUGGUAGGGCUAGCUAGCUAGUUAGCUGUUGGGCUGUGAGAGAACUACGGAUUAUGUGAGAGGGAAGGGAGGAAUGCGUAUCCUAUGUCUGUCACAAACCCUCCUGUGACCCUUAUCAAUCAACGAAACAUGUCUGGUUUGUUUAGGAGCAGAGCAGGUUUUGCUGCUGGCUCGACGGACUGACCUGAGGAGAAUCUCAUUGGACCUGCCAGACUUCACUGACAUAGUACUCCAGGUUGAUGACAUUCGCCAUGCCAUCGCAAUAGACUAUGACCCGGUCGAGGGUUACGUCUAUUGGACGGACGAUGAGGUUCGGGCCAUCCGGCGAUCCCACAUCGAUGGCAGCAAUGCCGUGAUGCUGGUUACUACGGAGAUCAACCACCCGGACGGUAUAGCUGUGGACUGGGUGGCCAGAAACCUAUACUGGACCGACACUGGCACUGACCGGAUUGAGGUCACCAGGCUGAAUGGAACAUCUCGGAAAAUUUUGAUAUCCGAGAACCUGGAUGAACCCAGAGCUAU